rnacentral:lncRNA from 1 species
AAAGUACAUGUUCCAAUAGGCGUAGAAUGCAUUGAAAAGCUCUCAAACACACACAAAACCGUUAAAAAAUGACAAAAACAACAAAUUCGAUAAUUUGGACAUGACCUUGACUUUUGACCUUGUAACCUUUGUGAAGGUCAUUGGUCCACAAUGUCAUUGUAAAAGACCCCAUGGGUCUAGGACUUUUCGUUCAAGAGUUAAAGCUAAUUUUACCUUUUCAGAAACCGUUAACGGGGGUUAUGCCCUUAAGAAUAUGUCAAAUCCUUUCGGUCAAAAUGUAAAAAAGUUGUGCCUCAGUCACCUAAACAUUUUUCACUGUUUACUAUUUCUGUAAGAUUAACCGUUUUUGAGAUAUCGACUAAAAAGUUGAAAGGUCAAAGGUCAAGGUCAACCUUAAAAACAUUUAAAACACACUAAAAAUCCUUAAAAUAAGGUCAAAAACACAUAAUUCGCUAUCUGGGACAUGACCUUGACCUUUGACCUUGUGACCUUUGUCAAGGUCAUUAGUCCCCAAUGUCAUUGCUGAAGACCCC